rnacentral:lncRNA from 1 species
UAUCGUGGCUGCAUUUAGUGCCUAUUCCAUCCGUAUUGACAGUUCAUUGGUUGUAUACAAGGAGUUGUAUAUUGAAAUUGAAUUGAUUCUUGUUUCAUUGAAUAUAGAGGAGUUGUUCUGUUGCAAGUUGUUCUAGUUUUGUUGUUUUAAAAUCUGCGAAAAACUAUUUAUAGAUAAUGGUGAACUUAAACAAGAAAUGGACAUGCAGUUUGCUGAUUACUUAAUUGUGUACUCACAACACAUAGGAUUUCUCUGACACAGUUUCCAGUACAGAACUGCCACAGGAAUCUCCAGUGGAGUUGCAACCGCUCUCACGGACGUCCACAAAUCAAGUUACAAAACUGUUACAUGACUCUAUUGGAGUUGCAACCGCAAUUGGAUAAAAGUGAAAUUCGAAUAAUGCCAGAAAGACUAUAACCGUCCAAAGUGAUAGUGUGAAAUUAAAAUCAAAUGAUUACGUAUAAAUCAUAUUUAUAAUAAUUAUAAAUAGUAGCUGUAUUUUUUAAAUAAACAGAUUUGAUAAGUUA